UACGUAGGGCGCAAGCGUUGUCCGGAUUUAUUGGGCGUAAAGAGCGUGUAGGCGGCCAGGUAGGUCUGCUGUGAAAACUCGAGGCUUAACCUCGAGCUGUCGGCGGAAACCAUCUGGCUAGAGUCCGGAAGAGGAGAAUGGAAUUCCCGGUGUAGCGGUGAAAUGCGCAGAUAUCGGGAAGAACACCCGUGGCGAAGGCGGCGACCUGGGCCAAGAUUGACGCUGAGGUGCGAAAGCGUGGGGAGCAAACAGG
rnacentral:rRNA from 1 species